AGCACGUGGAUGCUUUGUGUGGGUUAAGCUAGUUCUUAUUAUUAGACACAGCAGCUAUUGCCUCUGGUGGUCAGUUUAUAGAACAUUAAGAACCAAGGAUAAACACUCUUCUUGUAAAAAGAUAUAUAACUCAUGUUGCUUUAUCUUGCAGCUGUCAGAGAUUCUGGGCUACUAACAUUUAUCCACAGUUUAUUUUAUAAUGCCUUUCAAGAGGACAGAGAUUGUGUAUAUAUUCUAUGUUAUACAUCACUCCUGCAGAACUUGUAUCCCUCUAGCUAGCUAUGGCAGCCCAGCCUAAUUCAGCUUUCUGGUUUGCCUGCCUGCCAUAAAUUGGGGAAAUGGUCAGUUGCCUGGCCCCUGGCAGGUUGCCAUAUUUGGCAGGCGGGCUGUGUUUUGCUGGAUGAACUGCAACUUGUGCAAGGCUAUUAUAGAUGAACAACAACUAACUGAUUCUCCCAAGAGAUGUUCAUUCAUAGACUGGGCUAGGCAACGGUUAUUCAGAGGAUCACUUAGUUGCCGAUUAGCAUACAUUAAUUCCCUUUUUGUUUACAAUGGAUAUACAUCCGAUCACCCCAAAAGACUGCUGAACAUAUGAGUUCAUAUCCUCAUGCAGCAACAUAACUAUUACAGUGCUCUUACAAAGCACUUCUAAGCCACUAGAUUUUGUGAUCAUAAGCCUCAGAUUAUUUACUGUAGUUAGAAUAAGACUGAAGACAGGAAGCCAUAGUCAUAUGAAAUGGGUAAUCAUUACACUAAGUAAAAGAGUCUUGUCUUCUGAUCCCUGCAAUCCUUUCCUUGUUCUUUGCUUUAAUUGUUUAUCAUCUGCCCAUAUAUUUUUUCUUGGCAAUCAUGAGGACUAGAAACAAAGAUAUUUGAGAUUCUCAGUGAUCUGUUUUAAUAGCUGUAUUCUGUCUGCAUUGGAUGCCUUACGUUGCACUUUGCACUGUGAUUUUGGGAAUUAAAAACACUCAGUCAUAACCUGCAUCCAAAGCAUCCCUUAGAGCAACCUAAUUAAUCUUCAUCAAAAAAAAAACAAACAAAAAAAACCCUGCAAGAAAGGUGAGUCUAUGACCUCCACAAACACAUUCUUCCAUUGCUGAACUUAUUUUUAAAAAACAAAAACCCUGCCCCCAGGAUGUCAAAACUCCCAAGAAUAAAUCUGCAUUAAAUCUGUUACCUUGUGGAUGAGGCAUGAAUUUCCAUAGAAAAUCUGCCUGGCUUGCUCAAUUCCAGCAAUGAAAUAAGCGUUCACAGAAACUACACUAACUACAUAUGCAUCAACUAUAGAUAACAAACCAUAAAGUGCAAGCAGUGAAAUAGAAAAAUAGUUUUUGUAUUUAGAAAAUUGCAGUAUGUAUAUACAAGUAUGUUUUUUCUUACAAUAUUUAAUUCAAAAGUUAUAGUAUACCCAUAGAAUUUUAUAAGAUGAUUCUUUUUUCCAGGGAAAUGGGCUUCAGUAAUAGAUAUCAGCCUCCAUUAAAGCUUUCAAGUAUUAAGAGAACACCUUUUUAAAUGGGAAUUGUAUUGCCAAACUUCAGAAGUGUUCUUACUGUGUGCAAGACAGCGAUAAGCAGGCAGAAAUCUGAAAGAAGCAAGAUCUACGGUUAUCUACAAUGUAAUGAUACAUCACUGUAAUCUGACUGUACCAUACUGCUAGACUUAGAGCAUAAGCCUUCAGUAUAAUUAAAAGCAAUACCAUGA